rnacentral:lncRNA from 1 species
GAGGCGGGUGCGUCGAACAGUCGGAUCGAGGAAGGGCUCGGAUGCCUCCAUGUGUCGUCAUCCGAGAAGUCCUCGUUCGGCGCGCUUUCAUCUCAACCGUUGAAGGGCUUUAUAUAUAUGCAGCCACCUACAUCCAAAACUUCACUUUCCGCUGCAAAUCUUUUUUCUUCUGGUGCUGAAACUUUGUCGAGUUGUCUUCCAGUUCCAGGUAGUCGUCUUCAUCCUCCUCUUUUGGGCUCUUCUUGAAGCUUUCUGUUCUUGUCUCUCCGUACUCUUCCUCCUUUGUCGUUUUCUUUCUAUUCUUCUUUCUGAGACUAGCAGUAUGGCUAGGACCUCUCCUCGAGGGAGUCAGUCGGGGAACCCGACUGAUGACUCCCGAUCGACCUCGGAAGUAGAGGUUUCUUCACUUUCGGGGGCGAACGUCGAACGGCUCAGGGAGCAGUACAGUAUCUCGGAGCAGUUCGAGCUCUUCACCCUUGGGGC